GGCCCCGCCCCUCCCGCGGGAGAAACCAGACACGUGCAGCUCCGCGCCCACACCUGCAGCGCGCCAACACCGACAGACCCCCAGAGAACCCAACAGCAGCACGUGCAGGGAGUAUUAUUACGAGUAUUUAUGAAAAGUACCAACAUGUUGUGAUGACAGCUCCAGUGAUUUAAAGUACACUUUAAUCUGACUUUGUUUGACGUGUACAGGUGAGUAUCUGCAGGUGAGCAGCAGCUCUUUAAACCACAUUGAAUGACAACGUUUUGUAAUCAUUCAGAAAUACACAAUGGAAGGAAACAAAAUAACACAACAAAGCAAUAAACAUGCAAGGCAACAACGUACGAUAAUGCGGAGCGUGUUGAUGAGACACGUGUGUGAGAACUGACUAUUGAUUAAAGGCUCCUCAUUAAACAUGUGAACCUUUAAUAUAAAGAAAUAAGAGGCUCAUGAAAUGUCGUAACCUUCAAACGUCUCUUUCAAGAGCCACAGAGAAGAAAACAUCCUGCCGACUUCCUGGGGUCAAAGGUCACUUCAUAUCUGCUCCCUAAAAUAAACGCCUCCAGAUGACCUCUAAUACACACACACACACACACACACACACACACACACACACACUCAGUAGAUUAGUGAAGAAGCUGCAGUGUGAAUGACUACGUGAGCUUCUCGUCCUGUGGGUGUGUUUGAUUUGUGUCACUGUGCAUGAUAAAUGGGUGGAGUCUGUAUAAUAAUAUAAUGCUUGCUUAUAAUGCCAGCUUCCUCAGACCUCCUCAGACCCCUUCAGACUAGUUCAGACCCCCUUAAACCCCCCCAGACCCCCUCAGGCCUCCUCAGGCCUCCUCAGGCUCCAUGACAUUCUUUUUUAUUCAGCACAUUCUUCUUAUCUUCCAAAACCUGGUGCCCACGCAGCCCGCUGGCUGAGGUGACAUCAGCGGCGACAGGAACAAUCACGUGAUCACAUGUGGAAAGAGAACACGGCUCUGGAGGGGAACACCUGAGCAAACUCUGAUAACAGUUUCCAUCCUCAUAAGAACAACAGAGUGAGACAACAAAAAGGGCUCAGUGGGAUUUAACUUCAUCAGACCUCAUAAAUCAGGAGGUGAAGCCCCCCCAGGCCUCCCUCAGACCACCCAGACCCGUCACUCACACUAACCACUGGUUUCCCCUUUAUGAGCUUUUGUAUUAAACAGAGAGUCACAUUCCACAGUGGAGCCUCAGGUGAGUCACCUGAAAACCAAAGCAAGCCAGAACUCCGGUGGAUCCCUGUUUGUAACUCUCCCGAUGUCAUCAACGGACCUGAUGAAGACAGAAACAUGCUGCCGUAGUGCCUCCGAGCAGCACGCCGAACCCUCCACCGCCAACACAUCACGCAGGACCGGUCUACAGAGUGGACUACCUGGAGUACCAGAACAACGGGGAUGGAAGGCAGCAGUCACGUGGAGCAGAGCUGUGACAGCAUCAACAACAACAACAACAUCAACAACAACAUCUGCGCUGUGGCGGAUCAGUUGGCAACAUCACCUCCUGGACACGUUCAGAUGUGAGAUCUUCAUCACAGAUCUGCUGCUCUUAAUGGAAUGUGAUGGGUGUGUUUAGUGGAGGAAUCACAUGACACCACCUAUGUCCAUGGCCCCGCCCCCUCCUCUAGCGCCUGUCCGUCUUGCAGGGUUCACCUGGGGAGUCGGCACUCAGGUGCAGCCCGUAAACCAGCUCGUUAUCAGACUAAGUGGGUCAUAAAGGGUGGAGACAGAACUCAGGGUAACAUUUCAUGUUCCUGACCUCCUGCGGUGCAGUAAACCACGAAGGUCCUGUUGAUCUGCUUGUGACGGCUCCUAUCAGUGGGGUCAAAGGUCACAGAGUCUCACCUGUCAGAGCUCAGAAACCGAAGCAACGAGGACAUUAUCGUUAAAAUGAAGAACUUGGAUAUGAGCAUGAAGUUCAGAAGAAGAAGUGACUCCGAGCUGUGACACGUUCUCAGAGUGUCUCCUUCAGAGAUGUUCUUGUUCCUUCCAACACACCGGUUCUAUUAUGGACUAUGGUUCUAUGAUAACUACCUACUGCUCUGGUUCCUGCCGGUUCUUUUGCUUCAGUGAGGUUCCUUCUCACUGGCCUCGUUUCUGUUCUGCAGCCCGCUUCAAUUCCUUCCUUCUAGGCUCCCUCACAGUGGCCCGGCUUCUUUCCAGGAACCGGGUUCCUUUCUGGCGGUCCACUUUGUUUCUCACAGCCCCGGUUCCUCCCUGAGGCCUGGUUUACAUUUACCCAGGAGGCCGAGCGGUGACACCUGAUUCCUGCGGAAGAACCUGCAUGUGCAGAGGAGCGAGGACAGUGAGGACAGAUGUUGGUGAAUAGAAUCCCUUUCAGUGGUGACGGAUAUCAAUCGUGGUUCUUAGGAACGUUGGGAAUGUGCUCGGUGGAAAGUGGGUCAUGAAUUGAAGUGAGACCACCACAAAGGAACAUCAGCAGAGCUGGAAACAAUUGAGCCUGACUGACAGACGUAUUCCAGCAUGAGGAGGAACCAAGGAGGGGAGAUGAUGACAGAAAGCAGCACGGACAUCUUCAGCUGCAGGGGACAAAAACCCAGAUGAGCAUUCGGAUUUCUACAUUUAAAAAGUCACGGAAUCAAAAGGUUUAAAUCCAUCACAAGGAACUUUAAAUCUGUGUACUGAAGUGGAGUCUCCUUCCACCAGGGUCCCUUUAGAAAACCUCUCUGCUGGAGGAUCUGGGUCUGUCCCUGGUGGACUCGUCUCUAUUGGAGGAUCUGGGUCCGUCCCUGGUGGACUCGUCUCUAUUGGAGGAUCUGUGUCCGUCCCUGGUGGACUCGUCUCUAUUGGAGGAUCUGUGUCUGUCCCUGGUGGACUCGUCUCUAUUGGAGGAUCUGUGUCUGUCCCUGGUGGACUCGUCUCUAUUGGAGGAUCUGGGAGUAUCUUUACCUCAAACAUCUGGACAUCAGUCCUUCAAUCAUCUGUUCUAUUUGUCUUAAGAGUCGCUGCAUAUUGUUGUUGUAGUAAGUCAAAUAAUGCAUGGAGGGUUUCUGAUGGACGGGGUUAGUUGUUAUUUAGUCGGCAGCAGAAGGGUUCAUCUAAACUCAGCUGGCUGGGGGGGGGGGGCAUACCUGGGGGCC
ensembl:lncRNA